rnacentral:rRNA from 1 species
GCGACCCCAGGUCAGGCGGUAUUACCCGCUGA